rnacentral:rRNA from 1 species
UACAGAGGGGCAAGCGUUAUUCGGAAUUAUUGGGCGUAAAGGGCGCGUAGGCGGCUUUCAAGUGACGGGUGAAAUCCCUCGGCUUAACCGAGGAACUGCCUGUCAGACUGGAAGGCUUGAGACCGGGAGAGGUGAGUGGAAUUCCAGUGUAGCGGUGAAAUGCGUAGAUAUUGGGAGGAACACCAGUGGCGAAGGCGGCUCACUGGACCGGAACUGACGCUGAGGCGCGAAAGCGUGGGAGCAACAGGA